CUCCCUGGCAAGACUGGGCAUGCUCCAAGUGCUCUAGUAGUAUAAAAGGAGGGAGACCAGCUCAUUCUGGGUGGGAGGCUGCAGGAGAAGGACUUGCCAGCCACAGCCUCUGACUGCACCGGGAAUUGAAGCCGUCCAUGGCCCGCCUGCACCCCGGCGACUAGAGGAAACCCUGGAGACGACUGGCCCUGUUGAACACAGAGGACACCGCGGACCCGAGAUCUCAUGGAAAACCCCAAGACUCUGCCUCUCUUCAGAACCUUUAAAACUCCUUUCUGUGGAAAAACAGGCCUCCCUGUCAAGGCAUGCCGAGUGGUGAUGUUCUCAUGAUGGGCUCUGACUACAAAGCACAAUCAAGCCCCCAGAAAAUGAUUUACACUCCAUCAAAUAAGUUAACGGCUGCAAAGGAAUAGACUACAUGACCAUCAAAACUUGACAGCUUUGUGCUUACUAAACUAAAAUUAUGCCAAAUUUUCUGCAAUAUCAAAUAAGCACCCUAUGGCAUUUUUAAAAAAAUAAUCUUUCUGCUUGCACAUUGAAAAGUCUACUGAAUCAAAAUAAGGCUACCUCCUAAAUAAAGAUGGAAUGCAUGGAUGAUAAAAACAUCAGUUUUUAAAAAGAGGCAGAGGUCUGACGCAUGUUUCACUCUUUAAAUCUUCAAAAAUCCCUGAAGACUCAGUCCACCAAAAAAGCCUGACAUGAAACUAACAACAUGAACAAGAAACAAGAUGUGUGUGGUGCUUUCAGGGGAAACUGAAUUCAUCAGGGACUUGACACAGAUGAAAAUUAUGAUUAUCAAAUAAACAUGAGAAAAAAGUAGGAGAUUGCAAUAGACUAAAUAGCUAGGAUGCAUAAAGAAAAGUAUCUCUAGAAUGUCAAUUAACAUAAACAUUUUUGCAUGAUUAACUGAAAAUCAGUCUGUGGGACACUGGAUGACUCAAGGGACUGUCCGGUGGACAUGGUGCUUUUUGACCUUCUGUAUCACCAGCUCAGA